UUUGCAUGCAGGGGGUGCUCUCUUGACCCCUGGGGAUUUAAGAGAGACUGGGAGGAAGCCAACGGGAGAUCCUUCUACUUGAGGAACAUCAAUCUAUCCACUAUCCCUACAAUGGCCCAGACUCUGCUUCUCUUCACACUCCUCCUCUCCAUUGGUCCCAGUGUCCAGCAGCUGCAGACCCUGAAGGACCCAGAAUUCGUGGCUCUGGGUGGGACGGUCACCAUGUCUUGCAGAUUCGAUAGUGGAAACCUUGGUGAUGGCAAUUACCCUUGGUGGGCCCAGAAGAAACCAGGAAGUAAACCUCGGAGAAUGAUGUAUACCGCUAGCACCAGACCUUCUGAUGUCCCAGCCCGUUUCUCUGGCUCCAGGUCGGGGAAUGUGAUGUCUCUAACCAUUACGGGGGCCCAGGUGGAAGAUGAAGCGGCUUAUUACUGCUGUGUGUGGACUGCAAGCCAGUGUCACAGUGGUUCAUUCAGAUGGGGAAAUGAGACAAAAACCUCCUCUCACUUCUUUGCUCUCGUUGGACAUGAACAGAAAGUGAACUGUCUAUAG